rnacentral:rRNA from 1 species
GAGGGUGAUCGGCCACAUUGGAACUGAGACACGGUCCAAACUCCUACGGGAGGCAGCAGUGGGGAAUAUUGCACAAUGGGCGAAAGCCUGAUGCAGCAACGCCGCGGGAGUGAUGAAGGCCUUCGGGUCGUAAAACUCUGUCCUCAAGGAAGAUAAUGACGGUACUUGAGGAGGAAGCCCCGGCUAACUACGUGCCAGCAGCCGCGGUAAUACGUAGGGGGCUAGCGUUAUCCGGAUUUACUGGGCGUAAAGGGUGCGUAGGCGGUCUUUCAAGUCAGGAGUGAAAGGCUACGGCUCAACCGUAGUAAGCUCUUGAAACUGGGAGACUUGAGUGCAGGAGAGGAGAGUGGAAUUCCUAGUGUAGCGGUGAAAUGCGUAGAUAUUAGGAGGAACACCAGUUGCGAAGGCGGCUCUCUGGACUGUAACUGACGCUGAGGCACGAAAGCGUGGGGAGCAAACAGGAUUAGAUACCCUGGUAGUCCACGCUGUAAACGAUGAGUACUAGGUGUCGGGGGUUACCCCC